rnacentral:piRNA from 1 species
GUCAGUUACAGAUUGAACUCCUG